rnacentral:rRNA from 1 species
AGUGAACGCUGGCGGUAGGCCUAACACAUGCAAGUCGAACGGCAGCACAGAGGAGCUUGCUCCUUGGGUGGCGAGUGGCGGACGGGUGAGGAAUACAUCGGAAUCUACUCUGUCGUGGGGGAUAACGUAGGGAAACUUACGCUAAUACCGCAUACGACCUACGGGUGAAAGCAGGGGAUCUUCGGACCUUGCGCGAUUGAAUGAGCCGAUGUCGGAUUAGCUAGUUGGCGGGGUAAAGGCCCACCAAGGCGACGAUCCGUAGCUGGUCUGAGAGGAUGAUCAGCACGACUGGAACUGAGACACGGUCCAGACUCCUACGGGAGACAGCAGUGGGGAAUAUUGGACAAUGGGCGCAAGCCUGAUCCAGCCAUACCGCGUGGGUGAAGAAGGCCUUCGGGUUGUAAAGCCCUUUUGUUGGGAAAGAAAUCCAUCUGGUUAAUACCCGGGUGGGAUGACGGUACCCAAAGAAUAAGCACCGGCUAACUUCGUGCCAGCCGCCGCCGUAA